GAUGAACGCUGGCGGCGUGCCUAAUACAUGCAAGUCGAGCGAACAGACGAGGAGCUUGCUCCUCUGACGUUAGCGGCGGACGGGUGAGUAACACGUGGAUAACCUACCUAUAAGACUGGGAUAACUUCGGGAAACCGGAGCUAAUACCGGAUAAUAUAUUGAACCGCAUGGUUCAAUAGUGAAAGACGGUUUUGUCGUCACUUAUAGAUGGAUCCGCGCCGCAUUAGCUUGUUGGUAGGGUAACGGCUUACCAAGGCAACGACGCGUAGCCGGCCUGAGAGGGUGACCGGCCACAUUGGGACUGGGAUACGGCCCAGACUCCUCCGGGAGGCAGCAGUGGGGAAUAUUGCACAAUGGGCGGAAGACUGAUGCAGCAACGCCGCGUGCGGGAUGACGGCCUUCGGGUUGUAAACCGCUUUCGCCUGUGACGAAGCGUGAGUGACGGUAAUGGGUAAAGAAGCACCGGCUCACUACGUG
rnacentral:rRNA from 1 species